GGGGGCGUGGUGUAGCCUGGUCCAUCAUCGCGGGCUCCAGAGGUGUGAAGACCUUUGGAGCUCUGACCCGGAGAAACCCGCGGACCGGGGUUCAAAUCCCCGCGCCCCCACCA
rnacentral:tRNA from 1 species